AUAUCUGAGUUGUCGUGUAAGUCACUGUGUGGUGUAUCUAUACGUCAGUAUUAGAUCAACAGGGUUAGCCCUUAACCAUAAAGUUUCAUAAUCGCUGGCUGCAUUAGUAAUUCCAUGGACUAUUCUCGUGUACUUUCUGAUUGCAGGACUUUAGCUGCCUUUGGUCUUUUGGACUUCCAAAUAAUUUCUCCUAAAAUAUUCUUGCUCUACAUCCUAGUUCUGUAACUGCCUAGGUGGAAAUUCCGUUGCAUAUCAUCACCGCUAGGCAGAUCACAGCAGGUUGCUAAUGAUCUACGUCAAACUACAUUUAAAAAUGUCCUCGAGAGAAAUGUGCUUUGAAGCGAACACUACAAACCCAGCGAACACAACAAUGAUGGUCAUGCUAUUCCCAGAUUUCAUGGUCAAGGGAGCGAGCAGAAGGAAAAAGAAGGACUAGCUUAGAAGUGUUGAAAGUAUGUAUUCCGAACAGUCGACUGGGUGUAACUUUACUUACCUUCUUCAUUAGCUUUAUCAAAGACAAACUUCGCAAGCUUUGGAAUUACUUCCGUGUCUGUUUCAGACUCAAAGGUGAAACCAUGUCGGAGAAGAGUCUCUUUUAGCACCUGGAGAAUCAAAAGACCGCAAAAUGCAUAAGCGCAUAAUACAAAAGGAACAAGUGCAUAUAAAAGUGAUCAAAAGGUCUCUUUCAACACCUGGAUAAGCAAAAGACCGCAAAAUGCAUAAGCGCAAUCAUACAAAGGAACAAGUGCACAUAAAAGUGAUCAAGAAAUACCUAUAUGCAUAAGAGAACGAAAGUGACUGAGGUAUAACAUUAGCCGACGGUCAUUAGUUAUUUAAUUUUAGGACUUCGCAGUUAUAUGCAAAAAUCAAAGAAAAGAAAAAAGAAACUUUGAUGACAUACUAAAUCUAAUAAGAGAGCACUUCAAGUAACCAAAUCGACAUAUUUUUCAGAAAUGAUACCGCAUAUAUCUUUCAAGUCCAAACUCAUUUCUCAGUUAAGGUGAAAAAUAGAUGAGUCGCGACUCAUUGAAAGGAAACAUGGAGUUAUUAGAAAACAAAGUUUUCCACAAUAGACAGAAAAAAGCAGCCAGAAACAUUGUGGGCAAAUCAGCAGACCGUGAAGAAAAAUAAUUAGGUCCUGGUGGAAACAAAUGGAACACUGUAGUUAGCACACUAAUAAGUUAUAGCUGAUUAUCCUUCUGGUAAUCCUUACCACCAUCAUCCACGGACUUCUCAGGCUGUGGUUAUAUACUGCAACCACUCUAAGAAGUCCAGUUUCUUGUACAACUCCUGUAAACUAACAGCACUAAGGUCCAGGAAAGAUCAGGCAAUGCAAUACUGCAACUAUACUUCCUAAGCAGCUGUCAUCAGUUGGUUUAGUAUGGAUACUAGAGCUCCUCCGCAAUAAUUUUUUAGAUAAGGUAACAAAGUUCAUUAAAAGGGACAAAACAUGCCUGUAUACAAGGAAUAUACCUCCGCAAUAAUAAGGCUUACAUGACUAAUCUGGAUAGAUUUUCCAAAUUAAGGAAAGGUAAUUAAUGGUGUAUCAUGGCCUUCACCACCAAACCAGAGUGGGAAAAGGGGCAAUGUAAAUUAACUAAGGACCCGGGAUAAUGCCAAAGUAUAUCCACCUAGUGCAUAUUUCUCUGAGCAAUAACUGCAUGAUGCCAUGAUCUACAAGGGAUAUUCUGCGCUGGCAGAAAUUAGCAUGCUCUCUUUCCUUCCCACUAUGUUCUGUCAAUAACGAGGGAUAUCCCAUACUUGCAUGUAUCAGCAUUUUCUCUCCUACCAAAAAUUUAGGUGAUGUAGAAAGGAAAGGUAUACAAACUUCUACCAUCACCAUCCAAUAACUCGAAAUUAUCAAGAAUGGGUAGUUGCCUACUUCAUUUUUUCUGUUGUAUUUUUGUUUUUGAUAGGUAAUGCACCUUACGACUUCAUACUUUCCUUGAGUUUGGUAAUUUCAAAUGUUCAACAUGACAGUUCUAAAAUUCAACAGCAAAAAGAUUUUACAAGAAAAUGCUAACUACGUUGUGCUAGAUCAAGCUAAAAUCAGCACACAAAGAAAUUCAAGGUGAAAAUACAUUAGUCAACUUGGAUAUAGUUCCCUCUAAUUUUUACUUUUAAAAGACUCUUUCAGGAUUCAAACAGAACAACCAAAUUCUAAAAAGCAGGUUACUUACUAAGAAUAUGUGAUACAUGGCAGAAACAGUAAACCAGUUAUAACUAAUAAUCUUACAGAUGCACAAUAAGCAAAUAAUUAUUAUUUGACACACCAUUCUACCGAGUAGAAAGAGAAUAGAACCAAAAGUUAACUAUCCAGAGCAGGACUCGGCCUUAGAAAAUGAGAGUAACAAAUAAGCAACUGAAUUAAUAACUGAAUGUAAAGAAACCCAGGAGGAAAGAGUCGCAGGAACCUCGUAAUUGGUGAUAACACCAUUGUGAACAACCAAAAACUCAUUUCCAGCAUCAGAACUCUGAGGAUGACUAUUCCUAGGAGCAGGCUCCCCAUGUGUGGCCCACCGAGUGUGUGAUAUUCCAGCAUGAACAGAAAAUGAUUCUUCCAGAUUCAAAUCAGUAGCAGCAACGUCUGAGCAAGUGAACUCAAUGUUAGGGUCGCAAAAUCAUACUCAAUCACUGGGAAUGUGAGUGUGUACAGGCAGCUCAGAUAAGAAAUAUUUCAGAUAUUUCAUAAACAUGUAGCAGCAACGUCUGAGCAAUUGAACUCAAUGUUAGGGUCACAAAAUCAUACUCAAUCACCGGGAAUGUGAGUGUGUAAAGGCAGACUCAGAUAAGAAACAUUUCAGACAGUUUAUAACCACAUUUGGAUGUCAUAAAAGGACAAUUUCCUCCUAGGUGUCCUUUAUUUUUGGAUAACCAAGAAAUCCCCUAUGGGUUAGCUGGUCCGUCCCUAGUUAGCACACAGGUGCAAAACUUGGGGAGUCUUGACCCACCGCUCUGCCCUCCUCCCACUUAAACACCUAGCUCUAGUUAGAAAAUUGUGACGUGUGCCUACUGCACAUCCCGCACAUUACCUUUUUAGCAUUGAACUACAGCUCUGGGGGCUUCUACGUACAAUUAUUCUCGUAGCCAAUAAUUGAGUAAUCUUGCAGAUGCAGCACUUAGAUUUGCAACCAUCCUACUUAAGAUCAUUAUUCCCAUCGUAUAUCCAACUAGUCCACCAUCUCUCAUCAACUGUACUUCUUACUUUCAAUACCUUAUAGCACAACACAAUCACAUACUUAACCUCCCCUUCUCCUAGAAGAAUGUAUCCAUCCACCUACGGAGUUGGUCCGCCACAUUUACCAAGUGAUAUAAUUCAUUACAGUACCAACUAGAAGUGUGAAUAUUAGUUGCUGAUAACAAAUUGAACUAGAAGAAUAACAUAGUUAAACCCAUCAAGUUAAACCUUUUUUCCCUAAAUAGACUAUUUUUACAUUCCUGCUUUAGCUUUUUUUCUCAUCCCAUGCUCCUCCAAAACAUAGAAGAAGAAGCAGAAAAAAAAAACACCAGGAUCAGUGCAUGGAACAUAUAGCAAAAUUAGUGGGAUCAUGAAACUGAUCCUAACUUAGAGGUGAUAAUAUUAUUUGUCUAGCAACAAAUUGCAAUACUUAAUUACAAAUUUUAAACUCAGCAAAUUAAACCCUUUCCGUAACAAAGUAUCAUAAUACUCCUAUUCCCUUAAGAGAAAAUUAAAACAUGAAAUAAAAGAUCCAGAUCAAAGCAUAAAUUAUUAACAACAACAAACUUAAACCCAGAAAGUUAAAACCUUUAUUUAAUAAAACUAUCGUAACAUUCUCAAUUUAACUGUUUCUUCAUCCCAAACUCCUCCAGAAAUAAAAAAUAAUAAUAAUUCCAUGAAGGAAAUUUUUAAAAAAGACGCCAAAAAAAUUUAGGAGGACGCAGAUCAAUACAUGAAACAAAUCAGCUUAAACCAAAAGGACAUAGCCAGAAACCAAAAUAAUUAAGUUAUAUCUGUACCUUGGUAGACAGAUUUGACAAGAGAUUCAAUAUUGCCUUCUUGACGAAACACAAGAGGAGGGGAAGCAGAAUCAGAAGAAUCAAUGGAAAUUCCAGCUGAAUCAUACCCUCUGUAUUCUAAGCGUCUCAACCCAUUGAACAGAACUUCUAGAAUG
rnacentral:lncRNA from 1 species